rnacentral:snoRNA from 1 species
GCACUUGCCUUUGAACCCGUGGAACGCCUGAUCUGUGGUAUCCCGGGCCAAGCAGCAGUGCAAGAGCAGACCCAGCUUGUUUAUAACUGGUUCCGCUUAGCCCAAAUUGGAGCGGUUCUUUUAAGGACAAGCGACAUUC